rnacentral:rRNA from 1 species
CCUACGGGUGGCAGCAGUGGGGAAUAUUGCGCAAUGGGCGAAAGCCUGACGCAGCGACGCCGCGUGAGGGAUGAAGGUCUUCGGAUCGUAAACCUCUGUCAGCAGGGAAGAACGGUCACUGUGCUAAUCAGCAGUGAAUUGACGGUACCUGCAAAGGAAGCACCGGCUAACUCCGUGCCAGCAGCCGCGGUAAUACGGAGGGUGCGAGCGUUAAUCGGAAUUACUGGGCGUAAAGCGCUCGUAGGCGGUAGGUCAAGUCACGGGUGAAAUCCCCGCGCUCAACGUGGGAACUGCCGUGGAAACUGGACAGCUGGAGUGUGGGAGAGGAUAGUGGAAUUCCAGGUGUAGGAGUGAAAUCCGUAGAUAUCUGGAGGAACAUCAGUGGCGAAGGCGACUAUCUGGCACAUAACUGACGCUGAGGAGCGAAAGCGUGGGGAGCAAACAGGAUUAGAUACCCGUGUAGUC